rnacentral:rRNA from 1 species
UACGAAGGGGGCUAGCGUUGCUCGGAAUUACUGGGCGCAAAGCGCACGUAGGCGGCUUUCUAAGUCGGGGGUGAAAUCCUGGAGCUCAACUCCAGAACUGCCUUCGAUACUGGAAAGCUCGAGUCCGGGAGAGGUGAGUGGAACUGCGAGUGUAGAGGUGAAAUUCGUAGAUAUUCGCAAGAACACCAGUGGCGAAGGCGGCUCACUGGCCCGGUACUGACGCUGAGGUGCGAAAGCGUGGGGAGCAAACAGG